GAGAUGUUUAUCGCUUUGAAAUCACGUUCAAGAAGUCUCAUUCAGCACACAUCGCGAUACUUUCCAUCAGUUUGCAAGAGCCGCAGGUUGGGUGAGUUAUACAGUCUAUGGUGAGUAGUAGUAAAUAUGCUAUUUUAAUGCCUGUCCUAAAACGUAUUCUGUCUUCUUUAUUAAUCAGAUGAGCGCCUUAUGUUUACUCUCUGUAUUACAUCGGUCAUCCGAGGCUGUCUUUGAGUUUCAUUGUGUUUAACUAAAUGAACACAGCUGCUAACUGGUUAAACUCUAUCGGUCACGUGACGUGACGUGACGUGCCACAGACCUGGGAUCCGUUUUAUAUUCAUUUCAGGUUCAAAGAUCUGAAAAGACGUAAAGUAAGCAGUCACCCCAGUGGUGUUUGUGGAGAGGUAUUCCUUCAGAAAUGGAGAAGACAGAAAGCUGCAGAGGCAGGAUUGUUUGCAGAUAAUGCUGUUCUUCUUUUUCAGAAGUUUUUGGGGAGCCAACCCUCACAAACCUUCCUAAAAACUAAAAGAGCUAUUACUGAGUCUCAGCGACUCUUGCCACGAUCAGCUCUUCCCAGAAGAGAAGGAAGACCAAGGAAAUGAUUUGCUCAGGAUGAGGAAUGAAGAUGGUCAUCUUGUGCUCAAG